GAGUGAGUGAGAGAGUGUGAGAGAGUGAGUGAGAGAGUGAGAGGAAGUGUGAGAGAGUGUGAGAGUGUGAGAGAGUGAGUGAGAGAGUGUGAGAGAGUGAGAAUGUUUCUUUUCCCCUCUGUGCUGAUGUGACUCGCGUUAGCACGCGUGAGAAGCCUGGAGCAGCGCUCGUGCUCUCAGCUCCUGCCAGACGGCCAGGGGAUUUCCACGCGGCCCAAUGAAGCUCUCUGUACGCGGCACGAGGCGGCCGCUGAGUAACCCUCACUUCACCAUCUUACACUUUACACGCGCGUGUUGGGGAAAUCUCACUAAGUCCACACAACGGCCGCAUUCCUUGCACGCAUUAUAAUAGAAUACACCUGCUGCCUCGCCCCUACACUUCCGCUUGCCCAAGUGUAAUACCAUCUACUGGGUAUGACUGGAGCUGCACCGCUGAAAGACUUCCUUCACCCAGGCUGCACUGUGAAUAAAAA
ensembl:lncRNA